GCGGGGGCGGAGGGAGUUGUCCAGGGCCCCACAUCCCCGUAGCGUCGGCCCUGCCCUGUCCCUUGCAGUGGGCGCAGCCCGGGCACAGGGCUGGUCGCGGGGGCUGCGGCGUAUGCAGCACGCAGCUGCUUAGGGCACCAUGAAAUUUGGGGCAAUUUGGUGCCCCAAUUUCAUGGUGUCCUACGCAGCUGCGUUACGCCUGAGGACGGCCCUGAUCGGAAGAGUUACUAGGGUAAAGAGAACAGGAGGACUGGUGGCACUUCAGAGACUAACGCAUUUAUUUGCUCAUCAGCUUUCCUGAGCUACAGCUCACUGCAUCGGAUGCAUUUGGUGGAAAAUACAGUGGGGAGAUUUAUAUACAUAAAGAACAUGAAACAAUGGGUGUUGCCAUGCACACUGUAACCACCGUGAUCAGGAACUUUUUCCCAGAAUGCCUGUCUGGGAGCUGGCCCUUUAAGUUGGCAGAAUCAGCCUGCUUCACCCCUAAAGUACUCAUUUUGCAACUGACUGCUAUAGGCAAUACUUUCAGCUCUUCUAGUAGAAUGGGACUCAGUGCUCAGUCUAGAAGAUACCAUCAGAGAUGCUGAGUUUUGCAGUUCUCAAACUGUGGAUCUGUGUCUCCAGAGAUAACAUGCUUGUUAACAGCAAAAAUGUUUUUAAAUAAACAAGUAACUACUAUAGAGAGGUGAUAAAUAACAGAUCUCAACCCUAUUAUCCCUCUGAAAAUUUGUGUACACAGAGUCAAUCCCUUACCUCUCUCUCUAAAAGUGCAGAGUUUCAAAAAGUUCAAUGAAUAGAAGAUUGUUGAGGGCGGAAUAGAUCUGGACAAGGAGAAGAAGUCUGGAGAUA